AUGCAUUCACUCGUACCUGAUCAGCAAGACGACACACAUGAUACCAGCAGAUAUAGGAAGCAGAAAGCGGUUGUCUCUCUCUUGCGUGGAGUUCAGAGUGACUUCAACUUCAGGCAGAUCAGAGGAUCUUCCAGCCACUACAUGACAGCGCUACAGCAGACCGGAUACAGAGUUCUCUCCACUUUCCCUAACACUGAUCCUGACACCAGGUCUGUACAUACACACACGCAUAAACAGUAUAGGUCUUUAUGUGAUGUUGAAGGAUAAUAAGUAUAUUAACACUCAUUUCGUGUUCUUGUCAUUUUACAUGGAGAGGAUUUUCUUUUCCUAAGAAAGCUAGUUAAUGUUGUCGCAUUGGACUAAAACUUACUGACUUCACUCACACAGAGUAUAACAACUUCCCGAACUUUUCCUUUUUUUGCUAAAUAUGUUUUUUUAAAUAAUUUUGGAACUGAUUGGUCCUGGUCCUCCUCAUUUAUCUGAUAUUAUGCACCUCCGUUAAUAAGUGAAUAUUGCUGAAAUUAUCCACAAAUAAUGCUUUUUCACUCAAAUGCAUAAGUUUUUUUUUUUACACAAAACCUGUGCUAAUUGACAAAAAGCAAGUUUACAACAAGAUUGAAUCCAAGGAUAAUUUACAAUUUUAUGAUUUACAAGCCAUUUUUAAAUGGUUGGUCAUUUUUGACUGUGAACACCAGAUUAGGUAUAGGAUUUUCAGCCCAGCACAAGGGGUAAUCUUGAUAUUCUCCACAGGUACAAGUGUCACAGUGUACCCAGACCUCCUCCUCCUCCUCCUCCUCUGUAACAAAAAGUCAUAGACGCACUAUGUGUGUCAUGAAUUUCAGCUUUGGCCUUGUGUGUUGUUGUUCAUCUUUGGAGCUUAGAUCGAACUUAAACUGACAAUUUAUUUAUCUGGAAUUGUGUCAAUAUAAAAAGACAUUAAAUGUAUAUUUUCUAUUCAAGACUUUGAGUGGUGU
rnacentral:lncRNA from 1 species